UACGGAGGGGGCUAGCGUUGUUCGGAAUUACUGGGCGUAAAGGGUGCGUAGGUGGUCUAUUAAGUCAGUGCUGAAAUAUCCCGGCUUAACCGGGAGGGUGGCAUUGAUACUGAUGGACUUGAGUGGAGUUGAGGUAGGCGGAAUUGACGGUGUAGCGGUGAAAUGCUUAGAUAUCGUCAAGAACACCAAUAGCGAAGGCAGCUUACCAAGCUCUAACUGACACUGAUGCACGAAAGUGUGGGGAUCAAACAGG
rnacentral:rRNA from 1 species